GUUGGAGCUCCAAAAUGUGUUUUAGCAUGUCGAAGACUCUGGAAAGUAAUUAAACCUAACUAAUUUUCCCUCUUUUCUCCAACUUCAUUGACCAUGAAAACCUUUGUGUUCAUAUAACACUGAAUACAGCACACUGACUGCGUCUUCUUGGAAACACACUUGGGGGCACCUGCCGUCAGCAGAGCGGGGGUCAGCGAGGGUCAUGGUGGCUGCGGAGUGGAGGGGGGAUUUGAAGGGGCAACGCGGGAGUCGGGCAGACCAAACAGAAGCUCCUCCAGGAGCCCAGUCUGUGCACUAAGGCACUGCAGGGCUGUGUGAAGAAGGAAAGUUUGAAAACGUCUGAGAUCUCCGACACUGGGCCUCUGGUUCCACCCGG
rnacentral:lncRNA from 1 species